CAAUAGCGUAUAUUAAAGUUGUUGCAGUUAAAAAGCUCGUAGUUGGAUUUCUGGUUGAAGCGACCGGUCGGGCGUUGAUUCGUCUGCACUGGAGUCGGUUUUGGCCAUCCUCUAGGAAAGUGCGUCUGGUAUUAAGUUAUCGGGCGUAUGAUCCUGGUCUUUUACUGUGAAAAAAUUAGAGUGUUUAAAGCAGGCUUUCGCUUGAAUACAUUAGCAUGGAAUAAUAAGAUAGGACUUUGGUGCUAUUUUGUUGGUUGAGCCUAAAGUAAUGAUUAAUAGGGAUAGUUGGGGGCACCUGUAUUGCGUUGUCAGAGGUGAAAUUCUUGGAUUUACGCAAGACAAACAGCUGCGAAAGCGUCUGCCAAGGAUGUUUUCAUUAA
rnacentral:rRNA from 1 species